rnacentral:lncRNA from 1 species
CCCAGCAGAAAACGAAACCAGGGAAAAAGGCGGAUAGCUUUCUGUUGGGAUAGCAAGUUGAAACGGCUCUGCAGGACUGGCAGGAGGACUUUGCCCACCCAGCAGUGGAGAACGCCUUGCAGAACCAGAGGUGCAGAGGAGUUUGGCAGCACUACAUCUCAUCAACGUUCGCUUCUGCUGUUUAGGGGCAACUUCUUAUCCACUUCUCUGAGAGAGCUUGACGACCAUCUGUGGGACAAACGAAGAGCAGAAAUGAGCACUGGUCGCUGUCCAGUGACCAGGCACAGAGCGUGGAGGCCAGGCCUUUGGGUGCUGCGCGUGCCCCUGAUGCCAGCUGCACUGCUUCUCCUCCUUGGCCCGUCUGGUGAGCUAUCUCUUUGUCUGGUAGGAGGGGGGAUGAAUUUUAGGCACUGGAGGUCUUCCAUCUAGCCUUGCCAUUGGCCUUCUGAGUAACAUUUUCUCGAUGUAGAGGCAUAUGCAGGGAUGCCAUGUUGUCUCCAGUGGCAUUAAGUGUGAGCAGUGAAAGAGGGAGCAAGUUCAGCUCUUAUCUCCCACCAUGAAUGAUGUGUGGUGGCAAGGACCACAUUCAGGGCUGGCUGGUAACUGGUGCAGGCAGCUACUGGUGAUGGAAGUGGUGCAGAUGUGGGCCUCGGAGCAGGCAGUCCCCCUGGGCCGUUUGUGCUCCCAGUUCACAAGAAGGCACGUACAGCCAAGGGACAGGAGCUGCUGAAACCCGUUUAUGCAGAGGCGAUGGGCAGGAUGAGUACAUGUCUCCUGAGAAAACGAGCUAGGCUUGGUAUCCUAAAUUGUUCCUGGUGGGUGCUCUCAGACAAGAGUACUGGUGACUUUCAGUCUUGUUUAUGCUGAUUGGAAAGCUUUUAAGUUAAACUGGAAAAAGCUAUUCCUAUUCUAGACUGAAAGGGUCCAUACGAGAGCUGUGUUAGUGUAAUUAUGCUGGUUUGACUUUAUCAGUGUAAUUAUAGUGAUGCAGUUGGUAAAACCUUUCCGCCUCAACAAAGCUACGACAAGACAAAGCAAGCUCGAAGCCAGGCAAUUAAGGUGUAGUUAGACACUAUAAUUGGAUUAAAUCAGUUUAAAAAGUUCCCACCCCCUCAGCUGGUGCUUCCCAUCCCCGGAGCUCCUCUUCUGGUGGCAGUGCCUGCUCCCUGAGCCGAGACGCAGGGACUCCCCGCGGGAGCCCGUUUCUGCGCAGAAUUAGAGCAGGUUCAUCUCAGCCUCCACGAGGGGGGCGAAGGCAGCUCCUUGCAGGCUGCUUAGGCUCAGCUGCCAGAGCAUCUGACCGCAGCCCUGGCAGCACUGCGCUGCCCGGAGAGGCUGCGCACGCAGCUGCCGGAGGCCUUCUGUGAACGGGCUCUCCACGAGGUCCUUUCAGCUCAGACCUGGUUCUCGCUGAAGGUUUUCAGCAGUG